CCUACGGGAGGCAGCAGUAAGGAAUAUUGGUCAAUGGGCGCAAGCCUGAACCAGCCAUGCCGCGUGCAGGAAGACGGCCCUACGGGUUGUAAACUGCUUUUGUACCGGAAUAAACCCUUUUACGUGUAAGAGGCUGAAUGUACGGUAAGAAUAAGGAUCGGCUAACUCCGUGCCAGCAGCCGCGGUAAUACGGAGGAUCCAAGCGUUAUCCGGAUUUAUUGGGUUUAAAGGGUGCGUAGGUGGCUUUUUAAGUCAGGGGUGAAAGACGGUAGCUUAACUAUCGCAGUGCCUUUGAUACUGAAGAGCUUGAAUGAACUAGAGGUAGGCGGAAUGUGACAAGUAGCGGUGAAAUGCAUAGAUAUGUCACAGAACACCAAUUGCGAAGGCAGCUUACUAUGGUUUUAUUGACACUGAGGCACGAAAGCGUGGGGAUCAAACAGGAUUAGAUACCCUGGUAGUCCACGCCCUAAACGAUGAAUACUCGAUGUUGGCGAUAUACGGUCAGCGUCUAAGCGAAAGCGUUAAGUAUUCCACCUGGGGAGUACGCCGCAGGUGAACUUAAUGAAUGACGGNNGNGAGNGCGAGACGACGACGAGGAGAG
rnacentral:rRNA from 1 species